UGAAAGAUAUCUGACAUACCAGAUCGUCUUGA
rnacentral:tRNA from 1 species